CCGCUGUUUCAGGGCGGGGUGAAAUUCCCCACUGGCGGUCAUUCGGCGCAGACAACAGCCUGCGAUGCGCACUCUGCGCAUGAACCGAUAAGCCCGCGAGCCCUGCCGCGUUGGUUCGCGGUGGGGUUGAUUCGGUGAAAAUCCGAAGCCAACGGUUAAAGUCCGGAUGAAAGAGGCAGGUG
rfam:Cryptobacterium curtum DSM 15641, complete genome.